rnacentral:rRNA from 1 species
CCGUCAAUUCCUUUGAGUUUCACCCUUGCGAGCAUACUCCCCAGGCGGUGCACUUAUCACGUUAACUACGGCACAGAACACGUACGUGCCCCACGCCUAGUGCACAUCGUAUACAGCGUGGACUACCAGGGUAUCUAAUCCUGUUUGCUCCCCACGCUUUCGCGCCUCAGCGUCAGUCCUCUGAUAGAAGCUCGCCUUCGCCACCGGUGUUCUUCCAGAUAUCUACAGAUUUCACCCCUACACCUGGAAUUCCAGCUUCCCCUCAGGAACUCUAGCCCACCAGUUUCCAGCGCAGCUGCAGGGUUAAGCCCUGCAUUUUCACACCAGACUUGAUGAGCCGCCUACACGCCCUUUACGCCCAAUAACUCCGAACAACGCUUGCCCCAUACGUAUUACCGCGGCUGCUGGCACGUAAUUGGCCGGGGCUUAUUCAUCGGCUAACGUCAUCAGGAUGGCUUUCCACUCCACCCCUUAUUCUUCACCAAUAAAAGGACUUUACAACCUUACGGCCUUCAUCGUCCACGCGGCGUCGCUCCGUCAGGGUUUCCCCCAUUGCGGAAGAUUCUUAGCUGCUGCCUCCCGUAGGAGU